UGUUCCUCCCCUCAAUAAUGUUUUAUUUAAACUAAUUACCCAUUAGUAUUUUGCUGCCCAGUCUGUUAUUCUGGAUAGGAUUGGCAAAGGAUUAGAAAAUAAGCCAGACCAUAGUGUGCAUUAGGUUGUUAAUAAAAAAAUGUUGCAAUGGUUUACUAACAAAAGAAGUGGGCAGUACGGUAAUGCACUUUACAAAUAGAAAUCAAAUGGUCCAUUGUCCUGAGCAACAAAGAACUGCAAACCAAAUGUAUCUAUUCCCCUAAACAUUAACAAUGUCAAGAUUAUUUCAUGCUUGUAACAGUAACCUCAAUGUUCAAUCUUCUGAAGAUUGUAUUAAAAUCUCAGUAAUACUACCUGUAGUAUAUUUUGAGUUCCUUUUUCACUGGCUCCUAAACUUUCAAGAAAAAACUGUCAUAUCUGUCAUUUGCAAUGCAUGAUUUGCUAGUAUGACAGUCAGCUCUGUUGGGUUUCACACAUGCCAUGUUUAGUUUCUUUUGCUAAAUCUGUCACUGGCAUGGUGUAAGAAGCUGUUUGUCAGCACUCUGUGAUAGUUAUCUCAAGUUAAGUUGAUUUACAAUACAAAACAAGAGAAUGUGUAUAUCUGCAUGUGUAGUUAAUCUAUGAUUAUUGCUCUAGGCCGAGCGCUAUCUUCCAAGAGAAAUGAAGUGGCGUGGUAUUCCACGGGAGAGGUUAAAAGUGGCACAUUGUGCCCUUUGAUGGCAUGAUGUGAUGGGCAAACAUUGAAUUGAGCUAUUCAGGACACACCAUUGCUUUGUUGUGCAGUGCUUGUGAGGAGCUGCUCUACAUCCUUUUUCUAGUUUUAAAAUCUGUGUACCCUGCCAUUGCUGAUUCACUAUGUGGGAUUAAUCAAAACACAGAAGUAGAUGUAAGGCAAAGGAUGAUAAAAUGAAAUGGGAUAACAGAAGUGUUGCACUUGUGAGGUUGUCUCAUCACGACCAAAUAAGCAAUGUCUCUUUGGGGCAUCCUCAAACUUUUUUUUUUCUUAUUUGAGUGAUUUGAUUUCCUGUUUUAUUGUUCAGUUCAAGUUUUGUGUGUGCAUUAAGAUCCUGGUUUUUGUUCUUUGGUUAUGUUGCUUAGAUUUUGUUUCUGCUGUUAUUUUCUGGUCUGUUCAAUUUAUGGGUCCAAUCUGGUUUAAACUGUUAUCUAAAAACUGCAGAAUCUCUUCUUGUGAAGCCUUUUGUCCAUGUUUUUUCAAACUAUUUGUGUUUAGGUUUUUUGGUCAAAAUUCCUCCAAUCUUCUCCCCUACUCUUUGGGCUUUCUUAAAUUGUUUAGUAAAUCUUCGCCAAGUCCAUACUUUAUGAAAUAUCCUUUGACAAGCAGAAACAAACAUAAACUCUACGCUAGAUGCAGCAAAUACAUUUUUAUUGAUUUUCAGAUUUCUGGAAAUAAACUGGAAAUGAAAUAAACAGAACCAUUAAGAAAUUUACUGUCUGAAGACAUGUUCUACCUUAUUACAUAUUCUCCAAAGCACUCACAAAACUUAGCGUCCGCGGAUAGCUGUUUGUAUCCCUGAAAUCUUCAUGAAACUUUGAGAACUCGGUGACUUCUAGAAGUCUGGAAUGAGUUGUGGUCCCUAAAUCCUUAACUUCAUGGCUGAUUAAACUACUGUGAUCCUCAACGGAUGCUGGAUGCUGAUCCCACGCAGUUACACUAACAUGCAGACCUUGGGUGGCCGUCCAAGCUGGUUAUCAUGGGGUUUUUCGUCCUAGGGCAGGCAAAGAGAAAUAAUAAAAAUCAGAAUCAUCAAUAAUAUCCCCGCCUUAACUCUUCUCCAACCUUAAGAAGACAAUCAAACUUAAAAUCCACGCCCACCCUAAUUCCUAUAAAUCAGGCGGCUUUCUUAAUUAAUUCCAGUGAUAAUACUUUUCCCUUAAAAGUAUUCAUCAAUUAUGUAUUUAGCGCCCCCUCCAUAAAGGAUAAAGGAAUCUAAAGAAAAUGUUUGGAUAAUGAAUUGCAAUGGCCCCAUCCUCAUGACUGAACAUCAAGAGUCACUUAAGUGAACAUGGACCCCACCACCUUAUUGAAAACAACCUCCUCUUUAUUCACUAAAAUGAAAAAUCGACUAAGUGUUGGAGGAAAACUUACACUCAGCGAGCUGAUUACUGAGCUACAGCGGUGCAAGAGAGGGGACAUGACACUUCAAAAAGUUUUUGUUUAAGUUGCCAGUUCUGGUAUGGUAAUUUUUUCCUUGGGUACACUAUGGUUUGGUAUGGCUGUUAUAUGUAUAUGUGCAAAAAAAUUUAAAACAUAUACAGAAUUGCAAAUACAUUUAAUAUUAUAUUAUAUAUUAAUAUAUAAAAAAAUUAAAAAGCAUACAAAAUUGCAAAUACAUUUGAUAUAACACAUUAUAUAUUUAUAUUUUAUAAUAAUAAUGAUAUGUGAAUCUUUGAUAGUAUGAUUCUUUAUCAUUGAUCAAUGACAUUAUGGUAGUCACAAAAAUAAUUGUCUAAGUUGUUAGUUUUCGUCUCCACUCCUAGAUCUCUUAUUGUAAUCAAGUUUCUUAUGUGACAAAAAAUCCUAAUGACUAGUGGGGGUUGGGAUGUUGGAGUCUUUUGCUGUUGAGCCAAAAGCUCAAACUAUUGAUGCCCGAUACAAACACCAGAUUUAACCCGACCCAUGGGAGGCAGUUAAGCCAUGUCACGAGUCCCCAAGGAGGUGUUGACCACCAAGUCAACAAUGUGCCCUUCAGCACCAACUGAGCCUUCAGCACCCACUGAAGGGAGACUCGAACCUGUGACCCAAGGCUUUGAUACCACUUGUUGGAAUCAUUUUCCCAACGCCCGAUACAAACACCAGAUUUAACCCGACCCAUGGGAGGUGUUUAAGCCAUGUCAUGAGUCCCUAAGGAGGUGCUGACCACCAAGUCAACAAUCUCCCCUUCAGCACCCAUUGAAGGGAGACUUGAACUUGUAACUCGAGGCUUUUAUACCAAUUGUUGGAAUCAUUUUCCGUUGUGCCAAAAGCUCGAACUAUCAAUGCCCGAUACUAUCUAAAUUUUUUUUUUUUUUUUGUUUGGAUGGCCCUUGGGUUUGCCUAGAGUCUCACCUAGGCACCUUGGGUGAACCCAGAAUACUCCUUUCACAGGACCCACAGCGAAGUUGAGUGAACCCAUGGUGCUUGGACAAACCAAGGACACACUUGUUGUAGGACCUGUACCUGCACCUGUUCCGUAUGGGAUAGGGACUCCAUAGGGGUGUACCUAGUAACUUAGGUUUUUGUUGCUUUUGCUAAGUUUUUUCCAUCCAAGCUUCUCCCAGAUCUAAAAAGUUAUUGAAACCAGUUUAUUCUUUUUGUAUGUAAUAGGUUAUGCUAAACCUAGAUAUUAAAUAGCUUUGUGUUAGGCUUAAUAAGGCUAAGUUUUGAAUUUUGAAGAUCCAAUUGCUUAAAGCCUUAAAGCUAACAUACUGGACAUUGUGAGCUGUUAAAUUAGACUUAAUUUUGAAGUUCUUCCUUUUGGAUCUCAAUCAAAAUAAACCCAGUUCUCAUGGUGGUAUUUUAAGAUAUUGUAACGUUUUCUGGAUCUUUAGUGAUGCAGGAGCAUCUAGGGCUCUAGUGAUCUUGCAAGCCCCCCAAAAUUAUCAAUUUAUCUGUCAAUUUUGAUUUCUUGUUCUAAUUUUGUGUGUUGCAUUUCUUGUUCUAAUUUUGUGUGUUGCAUUUCUUGUUCAUGUCUGUGUGAGUGUAUUCUCCUACUUGGUCUCAUUCAUAUUCUUAGGCAUUAACAGAUUUUACAAAUGUUUACUUUCUAUAUUCUCUGUAGAGAAGUUCCUGGGGCCUACAUUCUGAAGUGCCACCUAAAAGAAUUUAACAAAUCGCUCUGAGCAUGUCUUCUUGCAUCAUACUACCAGCACAUGCCUUGUACUUAGUGCCUGAAGCUGAAGGUUCAAAAUUAUUCUGAUGCUGUGCAUUUCUUUUAGCCUAACUGCUGAUUUGAAUAUGCUUCUGGGGCCCAUGCACUCUAUGGCCCUUUCUGAAUAGUUAAGAUUCUUGACCUCUUGGUAGAUAUGUCAUGGGGUCCACAUACCCUCUUUUCUUUAAGAACUGUAUAAUUAAUAUUCAUUGCUGGAUGUAAUCUUUUUUAUUCUUGGCGGUAGUUAAUAAACAGUUAUGUCCUUGGUGGUUACUUUUUCAUUGAUGCAAUUUUUAAAGUCAUGUUGUUUUAUUUUAUGAGCAGUUACUAACCCAGUUGGGUUGGCAUUUUCUGCAUAAAACUGUCAGCGGCAGUUAAACUUUUUUAGUAUUAGUGCAUUAUGACAAUAUGGCAGUGACUGAAACAUAAAGAAAUAAAUCAGCCGACAGGGGUAAAAAAAUAUUAAGUUUAAAGGGGAGCCGUGGAAUCUUAUGAGGGGAGACAAGAAUAUUCAAGGCAUAUCAGAAAGAAGAAUCAAGGUGGAGGAACAAUAUAGGUGUAGCUGGGCCAAACCUUUUCAUACAAGGAUAUUCAGAUUCUUGAAGUUGUUGAGAACUGAAGUGAUAUGAUGAAGUUUGUGAAUAAAGAGAAGUUGCAAAGAUUAGCUGGUCCAAAUAGGACUAAUAUUAAUCAUUUGAAUCUUCAUCACUUUGUAGCAUGUUGUGAGGCUGUUUAGCCAAUAGACUUGUAGUUCUUCUGAAUAUUAAUAGACUUUGAUUUGUUGUUUAGUACAUUGUUAGUGAAAAAGUAAACAAGCUGCCUGAAAAGGUCCUCAGUAUAGGUCUGCAUCCCUUAGCAAUUCAUGUCCCCAACUUAGACUGGAAUAUAAAAUUUGAACUAGUUGCCGGUUUAUAAAAUUAUUUGUCAAGUUUUUUCUCCUUUGAAGUAUGAACAGUUUAUUAGAUAGAGUGUGUUAGGCUGGUCAUCUUAUGAACUAGUUAUGUGAUUGGCAUAUUGAAUUAGCAUUAGAUUUAAAUUACUAUUUUUAAGUAGAUUUAUUUUUGUAUUAAUUAUAUGGAAAGCUUAGGAUAAACUGGUUGUUUUUGAGUUUUUAAGAAGCCAAAACUAGAAAAUGUUUACAGUUAAUUUAUGAUGAUUGCCCUAGGCCGAGCGCUAUCCUCCAAGAGAAAUGGAGUGGCGUGGUAUUCCACGGGAGAGGUUAAAUGUGGCACACUAUCCCACUUGUUGUUAUGGUGUGAUGGGCAAAUAUUGAAUUGGGUUGCUCAGGCUGCACUACUGCUAUGUCUUGCAGUUCUUGCGAGGAGCUAACCCUACAUUUAGUUUUUUUUUUUCUAUAGAAUACUCUGUUCCCCAGUUUAUCAUAUGAGGAUGCACUAGCACAGAACUAAAAACACAGUACAGAGGGUAAGGAAGUGAAAUAGAACCUUUGUGAUCUUUACUUUUAUUGCUUUCCUCAUUCGUAAAUGACCUUAAGAUUUCUUUGUGGAUUUUGUCAUUUUGAAUAAAUUUAGAUUCGGAUUUCUUGAUGUUUGUAAAACAAGAAACAUUCUAUGCAUUGCUUUUUAGCCUCCUACACUCAUUUUAGUGUCUUUCUUGCAUUAUAGGAACUAUAUCAGGUUGAGCCUUGAGAUGCUGUUUCUCAGCUUCCUAAGCUUGAUGCAUUCAAGUGUUUUACAAGGCAACACCAGAAAAUAUUUUGUGAUGAUUGCCCUAGGCCGAGCGCUAUCCUCCAAGAGAUAUGGAGUGGCGUGGUAUUCCACCAGAGAGGUUAAUGUGGCACACCAUCCCACUUGUUGGCAUGGUGUGAUGGGCAAACAUUGAAUUGGGCUGCUCAGGCCGCACCACUGCUUUGUUUUGCAGUUUUUGCGAAGAGCUAACCCUACAUUUAGU